rnacentral:rRNA from 1 species
GACGAACGCUGGCGGCGUGCUUAACACAUGCAAGUCGAACGGAAAGACCCUGCUUUUGUGGGGUGCUCGAGUGGCGAACGGGUGAGUAACACGUGAGUAACCUGCCCUUGACUUUGGGAUAACUUCAGGAAACUGGGGCUAAUACCGGAUAGGAGCUCCUGCUGCAUGGUGGGGGUUGGAAAGUUUCGGCGGUUGGGGAUGGACUCGCGGCUUAUCAGCUUGUUGGUGGGGUAGUGGCUUACCAAGGCUUUGACGGGUAGCCGGCCUGAGAGGGUGACCGGCCACAUUGGGACUGAGAUACGGCCCAGACUCCUACGGGAGGCAGCAGUGGGGAAUAUUGCACAAUGGGCGGAAGCCUGAUGCAGCAACGCCGCGUGCGGGAUGACGGCCUUCGGGUUGUAAACCGCUUUCGCCUGUGACGAAGCGUGAGUGACGGGAAUGGGUAAAGAAGCACCGGCUAACUACGU